UAUUCAUUUUCCUUGAAGAAGAAUGUUAAGAAUCAAAUAGACUCAUUUGCUGUGGACAUGACCAUAAAAAAUUCUCCCACUAGGUUUUCUGUAUGCUUUGUUAGCAGUCACUGGGGAGACUA
rnacentral:snoRNA from 1 species